rnacentral:lncRNA from 1 species
GCACACAGCCCCCAAGCCAGAGCCUCAGUGGGGCCACAUUCCCACACCACCUGUCUCACAUCCAGCAUCAGCCACAGCAUGUCCAGACCUACUGCCUCCAGCACAAAGAGCACCCCAGCCUCCUCAUGCUCCUCCUUCCCCAGGGCCUUGCCUGCGACCCAUCCCGAGGCACUGGAACGACAAAGACCCCUACCACCUGCAAGUGGAAGGAAAAGCAAAAACAAGAUACCCCUUUGUAUCCCUA